rnacentral:rRNA from 1 species
GUGGGGAAUCUUGCGCAAUGGGCGAAAGCCUGACGCAGCCAUGCCGCGUGAAUGAUGAUGGUCUUAGGAUUGUAAAAUUCUUUCACCGGGGACGAUAAUGACGGUACCCGGAGAAGAAGCUCCGGCUAACUUCGUGCCAGCAGCCGCGGUAAUACGAAGGGGGCUAGCGUUGCUCGGAAUUACUGGGCGUAAAGGGCGCGUAGGCGGACAGCUUAGUCAGAGGUGAAAGCCCAGGGCUCAACCUUGGAAUUGCCUUUGAUACUGGCUGUCUUGAGUUUGGGAGAGGUGAGUGGAACUCCGAGUGUAGAGGUGAAAUUCGUAGAUAUUCGGAAGAACACCAGUGGCGAAGGCGACUCACUGGCCCAAUACUGACGCUGAGGCGCGAAAGCGUGGGGAGCAAACAGGAUUAGAUACCCUGGUAGUCC